rnacentral:snoRNA from 1 species
GGGUGGAUGAUGACUUCAAAAGGAUAUGGAUCUCCUUGGAAUGUGAGCAAAAUGAAUGACCAGGCCACUUCUAUGAGCUGAGGUCC